rnacentral:rRNA from 1 species
UACAGAGGGGGCAAGCGUUGUUCGGAAUUACUGGGCGUAAAGGGCGGGCAGGCGGCUUGUCAAGUGGGAUGUCAAAGCGCACAGCUUAACUGAGCGAGGCCAUUCCAAACUGAUGAGCUGGAGGGCAGUAGAGGUAGGCGGAAUUCCGGGUGGAGUGGUGAAAUGCGUAGAUAUGCGGAGGAACACCGAUGGCGAAGGCAAUCCCCUGGGCCUGCACUGACGCUCAUGCACGAAAGCGUGGGGAGCAAACAGG